rnacentral:rRNA from 1 species
AGUGAACGCUGGCGGUAGGCCUAACACAUGCAAGUCGAACGGCAGCACAGUAAGAGCUUGCCCUUACGGGUGGCGAGUGGCGGACGGGUGAGGAAUACAUCGGAAUCUACUUUUUCGUGGGGGAUAACGUAGGGAAACUUACGCUAAUACCGCAUACGACCUACGGGUGAAAGCAGGGGAUCUUCGGACCUUGCGCGAUUGAAUGAGCCGAUGUCGGAUUAGCUAGUUGGCGGGGUAAAGGCCCACCAAGGCGACGAUCCGUAGCUGGUCUGAGAGGAUGAUCAGCCACACUGGAACUGAGACACGGUCCAGACUCCUACGGGAGGCAGCAGUGGGGAAUAUUGGACAAUGGGCGAAAGCCUGAUCCAGCCAUACCGCGUGGGUGAAGAAGGCCUUCGGGUUGUAAAGCCCUUUUGUUGGGAAAGAAAAGCAGCAGGUUAAUACCCCGCUGUUCUGACGGUACCCAAAGAAUAAGCACCGGCUAACUUCGUG